rnacentral:rRNA from 1 species
ACAUGCAAGUCGAACGGUAACAGGAAGCAGCUUGCUGCUUUGCUGACGAGUGGCGGACGGGUGAGUAAUGUCUGGGAAACUGCCUGAUGGAGGGGGAUAACUACUGGAAACGGUGGCUAAUACCGCAUAACGUCGCAAGACCAAAGAGGGGGACCUUCGGGCCUCUUGCCAUCAGAUGUGCCCAGAUGGGAUUAGCUUGUUGGUGAGGUAACGGCUCACCAAGGCGACGAUCCCUAGCUGGUCUGAGAGGAUGACCAGCCACACUGGAACUGAGACACGGUCCAGACUCCUACGGGAGGCAGCAGUGGGGAAUAUUGCACAAUGGGCGCAAGCCUGAUGCAGCCAUGCCGCGUGUAUGAAGAAGGCCUUCGGGUUGUAAAGUACUUUCAGCGGGGAGGAAGGUGUUGUGGUUAAUAACCACAGCAAUUGACGUUACCCGCAGAAGAAGCACCGGCUAACUCCGUGCCAGCAGCCGCGGUAAUACGGAGGGUGCAAGCGUUAAUCGGAAUUACUGGGCGUAAAGCGCACGCAGGCGGUCUGUCAAGUCGGAUGUGAAAUCCCCGGGCUCAACCUGGGAACUGCAUUCGAAACUGGCAGGCUUGAGUCUUGUAGAGGGGGGUAGAAUUCCAGGUGUAGCGGUGAAAUGCGUAGAGAUCUGGAGGAAUACCGGUGGCGAAGGCGGCCCCCUGGACAAAGACUGACGCUCAGGUGCGAAAGCGUGGGGAGCAAACAGGAUUAGAUACCCUGGUAGUCCACGCCGUAAACGAUGUCUACUUGGAGGUUGUGCCCUUGAGGCGUGGCUUCCGGAGCUAACGCGUUAAGUAGACCGCCUGGGGAGUACGGCCGCAAGGUUAAAACUCAAAUGAAUUGACGGGGGCCCGCACAAGCGGUGGAGCAUGUGGUUUAAUUCGAUGCAACGCGAAGAACCUUACCUGGUCUUGACAUCCACAGAACUUUCCAGAGAUGGAUUGGUGCCUUCGGGAACUGUGAGACAGGUGCUGCAUGGCUGUCGUCAGCUCGUGUUGUGAAAUGUUGGGUUAAGUCCCGCAACGAGCGCAACCCUUAUCCUUUGUUGCCAGCGGUUAGGCCGGGAACUCAAAGGAGACUGCCAGUGAUAAACUGGAGGAAGGUGGGGAUGACGUCAAGUCAUCAUGGCCCUUACGACCAGGGCUACACACGUGCUACAAUGGCGCAUACAAAGAGAAGCGACCUCGCGAGAGCAAGCGGACCUCAUAAAGUGCGUCGUAGUCCGGAUUGGAGUCUGCAACUCGACUCCAUGAAGUCGGAAUCGCUAGUAAUCGUGGAUCAGAAUGCCACGGUGAAUACGUUCCCGGGCCUUGUACACACCGCCCGUCACACCAUGGGAGUGGGUUGCAAAAGAAGUAGGUAGCUUAACCUUCGGGAGGGCGCUUACCACUUUGUGAUUCAUGACUGGGGUGAAGUCGUAACAAGGUAACCGUAGGGGAACCUGCGGUUGGAUCACCUCCUUACCUUAAAGAAGC